AGUAUAUUAAUAUGAAGUUCGUUUGUCGUAUUUAUUUCUAUUUGUGUGACAACUCAUUAGAUUCGAUAAUACCAGAAGCUUCAGCCAUUUGCAACUAUUUUCCAUUGUUGGUCUGCUCUUCUCUAGAGCCUAAAUGCUUCUCUAUGUCAGCCGGAAAUUGACACUGAUCUGGUUGAUAAACCUAAUUAACAAGAAGAAAAUUUUGGGUAUAGCCUCACAUUGCUUAAUAAAGUUUGGAAUUUUUUUUCCAAUUAUUUUCCAAUGUUCCUCUUCUUCAACUUCAUCUUCUCUAUUCUGCUCUAUCAUGUCUCUCUUACGAUAAGAAGUUCAUCUGUAUCAGAAUAACAGGAACGAGAUCCGAGUGUUUGUACCAUUUGCAGAAAGGCUUCAAUUAUUUGGUUUUAGUCAGGUUAUCUUCUUCAGUUUGAUUCCCAGUUAUUUUUCUUGUCUGUAUGACCCCUGUCAUCAAUUUCUCAUCCCUGGUCUUCGUUCCGCAUAGGAUUCUGAAAGGAGGAUUACUGUAGCGUGUAAGCACUCACUGCCUUUAUUUCACCAGAUAUAAAACUUCAACGUUGUGAUAAACUUUUCCUCUUUUGUACUUAAAUUUUACUCUCUUAUUGUUACUAUGAGUUUUAACUCUGCCUUCAAGUCUUUUGUUCUUGGCGGUCAAGG
rnacentral:lncRNA from 1 species